rnacentral:rRNA from 1 species
UACGGAGGGUGCAAGCGUUAUCCGGAUUUACUGGGUUUAAAGGGUGUGUAGGCGGGCCAGUAAGUCAGUGGUGAAAUCUCCGGGCUCAACCCGGAAACUGCCAUUGAUACUAUUGGUCUUGAAUUUUGUUGAGGUAGGCGGAAUAUGUCAUGUAGCGGUGAAAUGCAUAGAUAUGACAUAGAACACCGAUUGCGAAGGCAGCUUGCUAAACAAAUAUUGACGCUGAGGCACGAAAGCGUGGGGAU